rnacentral:rRNA from 1 species
UACAGAGGGGGCAAGCGUUAUUCGGAAUUAUUGGGCGUAAAGGGCGCGUAGGCGGGCGGUCAAGUCGGGGGUGAAAUCUUUCCGCUUAACGGGAAGCGUGCCUCCGAUACUGAUCGCCUCGAGGGAGGUAGGGGCAUGUGGAACUUCCGGUGGAGCGGUGAAAUGCGUAGAUAUCGGAAGGAACGCCGGUGGCGAAAGCGACGUGCUGGACCUCUUCUGACGCUGAGGCGCGAAAGCUAGGGGAGCAAACGGG